rnacentral:rRNA from 1 species
AAUAGAUACCCUGGUAGUCCACGCCGUAAACGGUGGGUGCUAGGUGUGGGAGACUAUCUACGUUUUCCGCGCCGCAGCUAACGCAUUAAGCACCCCGCCUGGGGAGUACGGCCGCAAGGCUAAAACUCAAAGGAAUUGACGGGGGGCCCGCACAAGCGGCGGAGCAUGCGGCUUAAUUCGAUGCAACGCGAAGAACCUUACCUAGGCUUGACAUAUACGGGAAGCAGGCAGAGAUGUCUGUGCCUUCGGGCUCGUAUACAGGUGGUGCAUGGCUGUCGUCAGCUCGUGUCGUGAGAUGUUGGGUUAAGUCCCGCAACGAGCGCAACCCUCGUCCUAUGUUGCCAGCGGGUAAUGCCGGGGACUCAUAGGAGACUGCCGGGGUCAACUCGGAGGAAGGUGGGGACGACGUCAAGUCAUCAUGCCCCUUACGUCUAGGGCUGCACGCAUGCUACAAUGGCCGGUACAAAGGGCUGCAAUACCGCAAGGUUGAGCGAAUCCCGAAAAAGCCGGUCUCAGUUCGGAUUGGGGUCUG